rfam:Rattus norvegicus chromosome 20, whole genome shotgun sequence.
GGGGAUUUGGCUCAGUGGUAGAGCGCUUGCCUAGCAAGCACAAGGCCCUGGGUUCGGUCCCUAGCUCCG